rnacentral:rRNA from 1 species
AGAGUUUGAUCCUGGCUCAGGAUGAACGCUGGCGGCGUGCCUAACACAUGCAAGUCGAGCGAUUUACUUCGGUAAAGAGCGGCGGACGGGUGAGUAACGCGUGGGUAACCUGCCCUGUACACACGGAUAACAUACCGAAAGGUAUGCUAAUACGAGAUAAAAUACUUUUAUCGCAUGGUAGAAGUAUCAAAGCUUUUGCGGUACAGGAUGGACCCGCGUCUGAUUAGCUAGUUGGUAAGGUAACGGCUUACCAAGGCGACGAUCAGUAGCCGACCUGAGAGGGUGAUCGGCCACAUUGGAACUGAGACACGGUCCAAACUCCUACGGGAGGCAGCAGUGGGGAAUAUUGCACAAUGGGCGAAAGCCUGAUGCAGCAACGCCGCGUGAGCGAUGAAGGCCUUCGGGUCGUAAAGCUCUGUCCUCAAGGAAGAUAAUGACGGUACUUGAGGAGGAAGCCCCGGCUAACUACGUGCCAGCAGCCGCGGUAAUACGUAGGGGGCUAGCGUUAUCCGGAAUUACUGGGCGUAAAGGGUGCGUAGGUGGUUUCUUAAAUCAGAGGUGAAAGGCUACGGCUCAACCGUAGUAAGCCUUUGAAACUGGGGAACUUGAGUGCAGGAGAGGAGAGUGGAAUUCCUAGUGUAGCGGUGAAAUGCGUAGAUAUUAGGAGGAACACCAGUUGCGAAGGCGGCUCUCUGGACUGUAACUGACACUGAGGCACGAAAGCGUGGGGAGCAAACCGGAUUAGAUACCCUGGUAGUCCACGCCGUAAACGAUGAGUACUAGCUGUCGGAGGUUACCCCCUUCGGUGGCGCAGCUAACGCAUUAAGUACUCCGCCUGGGAAGUACGCUCGCAAGAGUGAAACUCAAAGGAAUUGACGGGGACCCGCACAAGUAGCGGAGCAUGUGGUUUAAUUCGAAGCAACGCGAAGAACCUUACCUAAGCUUGACAUCCUUUUGACCGAUGCCUAAUCGCAUCUUUCCCUUCGGGGACAGAAGUGACAGGUGGUGCAUGGUUGUCGUCAGCUCGUGUCGUGAGAUGUUGGGUUAAGUCCCGCAACGAGCGCAACCCUUGCCUUUAGUUGCCAGCAUUAAGUUGGGCACUCUAGAGGGACUGCCAGGGAUAACCUGGAGGAAGGUGGGGAUGACGUCAAAUCAUCAUGCCCCUUAUGCUUAGGGCUACACACGUGCUACAAUGGGUGGUACAGAGGGCAGCCAAGUCGUGAGGCGGAGCUAAUCCCUUAAAGCCAUUCUCAGUUCGGAUCGUAGGCUGAAACUCGCCUACAUGAAGCUGGAGUUACUAGUGAUCGCAGAUCAGAAUGCUGCGGUGAAUGCGAAGCCGGGUCUUGCACACACCGCCCGUCA